UACGGUAGGGGCAGCGUUGUCCGGAUUUAUUGGGCGUAAAGAGCGUGUAGGCGGCCAGACAGGUCCGUUGUGAAAACUCGAGGCUCAACCUCGAGAUGUCGAUGGAAACCGUCUGGCUAGAGUCCGGGAAGAGGAGUGUGGAAUUCCUGGUGUAGGCGGUGAAAAUCGCGCAGAUAUCAGGAAGAACACCUAUGGCGAAGGCAGCACUCUGGGACGGUACUGACGGCUGAGACGCGAAAGCGU
rnacentral:rRNA from 1 species